rnacentral:tRNA from 1 species
GGGGAUUUAGCCCAGUGGUAGGGUGUGUGCUUAGCAUGCACAAGCCCUAGGUUCAAUCCUCAGUACCUCCA